rnacentral:rRNA from 1 species
UACGUAGGGGGCGAGCGUUGUCCGGAUUCAUUGGGCGUAAAGAGCUCGUAGGCGGCUUGGCAAGUCGGAUGUGAAAACUCCAGGCUCAACCUGGAGCCGCCAUUCGAUACUGCUAUGGCUAGAGUCCGGUAGGGGAGUGUGGAAUUCCUGGUGUAGCGGUGAAAUGCGCAGAUAUCGGGAGGAACACCGAUGGCGAAGGCAGCACUCUGGGCCGGUACUGACGCUGAGGAGCGAAAGCGUGGGGAGCGAACAGG